ensembl:lncRNA
CCCACGUGGGCUAUGGCCAAGGCAGGGCCUCAAAGGACUGUGGUGUUUAAAUAACUGGUUCAAUGCCAACUUCCCUUAGCUUGGGAGCUGGAAGAUAGUGUUUUCUUUAAAGAGUUGAGUCUUCAUUUCAGACAUCCAGGGUAAACAUCUUCAGCUGAGUCUGGUUUUCAUACUCAGAAAAUAGAGCGAUGGUAUUCCUAGUCUGGUUGGUCAUCUGUUUAGUGACCUUAUCCUAGAAGCCAAACAUUGGGGUGUCAGAACUGGAAUCUUUAGGUAGAAAGAACAACCAUAUAUUUCCCUAGUUGUCUUCUUACUUCUGACUGAAGAGUGCCAGAAAAUAAGGGGCCAGGAUGUAGGGCAGCUGUAUGUACGAUGAGGCUGUGGUAGCUGCAACAGGAAGCAUGUUGGGAAUUGUUCUUAUAGUCAGAGUUCAAAAUUACAACUGGAAUUUCAGAAAACUUCAAACCCCUGUAAAAGGCAAACAUACCUUACUUAUGUCUUUCAAGUUUCAACGUGGCCACACAAGGCAAGUGUUGGCACCCUCAUUAUGCAAAUAAAGAAACUGUGGACUUGGAUUGAAGAAUUCAUGGGAAGAGCUAAGCAUGGAGAUUAAAAUGAUCUAAAUACAACACAUACUCUAAGUCUACAAAACUUUUAUUUGUUUUCUCUGUCCAAUCCCAACUCUGCCUCUCUUCCCCAGAAGCUUGAAAUCAUGUGGUAUAUCUAGGGCUCCACACAGAUAUGUCACAACUCCUAAAACUAUGACUUUUGGUUAGAGUUUCAAGAGAACUUCACUUGAAUUAAGACGGCCUCACUCAUACACACACACACGCACGCACGCACACACACACACACACACAUGCACACAUGCACACACACAUGCACAUGUACAUA